GCGGCCGUGGUCCAGCCUGGUUAAGACAGGGGCCUGCCACGCCUCUAACCCGGGUUCAAAUCCCGGCGGCCGCA
rnacentral:tRNA from 1 species